GCAUCGGUGGUUCAGUGGUAGAAUGCUCGCCUGCCACCCGGGCCGGCCGAUUCCCGGUUCGAUUCCCGUCCGAUGCA